GAUGAACGCUGACAGAAUGCUUAACACAUGCAAGUCAACUUGAAUUUGGGUUUUUAACUUAGGUUUGGGUGGCGGACGGGUGAGUAACGCGAAAAGAACUUGCCUCACAGCUAGGGACAACAUUUGGAAACGAAUGCUAAUACCUAAUAUUAUGAUAAUAGGGCAUCCUAUAAUUAUGAAAGCUAUAAGCGCUGUGAGAGAGCUUUGCGUCCCAUUAGCUAGUUGGAGAGGUAACGGCUCACCAAGGCGAUGAUGGGUAGCCGGCCUGAGAGGGUGAUCGGCCACAAGGGGACUGAGACACGGCCCUUACUCCUACGGGAGGCAGCAGUGGGGAAUAUUGGACAAUGGACCGAGAGUCUGAUCCAGCAAUUCUGUGUGCACGAUGAAGUUUUUCGGAAUGUAAAGUGCUUUCAGUUGGGAAGAAACAAAUGACGGUACCAACAGAAGAAGUGACGGCUAAAUACGUG
rnacentral:rRNA from 1 species